ACCCAGGGUUAUCUUAUGAUUUUAUGAAAGCCUAGGAAGAGUACAUCUCAGUUACGAAAUAUUUCUUUUUAAAUCCCUUCUUUCUUUGAGUAAUCGAAUUUCAAAGAUUGCAUUCGAGCGCAAAGCUAAGUACUCCCUCAGACACAACACUGGGUUGGCUCGUGUCGGCUACGGCUAGUCUCGCUUUUCUAAUCCGCCUCCCGGUCUGUGGCGAAGGCGUAAUGUUGUUUUGAGGUCCACGUCGUGUGAUGUUGAUUUUUCCAAACUUGAAUGCCCUCGAGCUUGCGAUAGUCCAGCAGUCACGCCCGCAAAACGGUUGUUCGUACGAGUGCACGCGGUAGACGCAGUAUGACACGACAUCAUCCGCAGAAUCGUCGACGGAGGAUGAAUUACCGUCAUAGCAGUCACCUAGCCGCCGUGGGAAACACUCUUCAUGUGUAAUGAAAAUGUUGAGAACCUCGCAGCGGAAAUAUGGCAUUGCUCUUUCGGUUCAGGUGUCCUUGUGGCAGAUGCAUGCUGAUGCCGACGGCAGAAGAAUGCCUUUGUUGCCGCGAAAUGAGACGUUACUGAAGCAGCACAGCGGUUGCAUUUCAAGAAAUCUGUACUUUAAAAUACUGUGAUUGAAGACUGAGUUGCUCCAGGUAUCCUCUGCUACGUGAGAGGAAGCGACGAGUACGCUGUUAAGAGGAACAGCAAAGUGAACAAGAAGUUUUGGUACGUUGCCUACAAACAGUUUACCAGGUGGCUCUGGGGACCAUUAGGAAAGCUGAAAGCACUGCAGAAAAGUCCUCGAAGCAUGUGCUGUACAUGCCAUAAGGGAAAACUUUCCUUCUGAGGCAUACAAAGGUGCUUGAAGGCAGCAUUAAAUGCCUCCCAUCUUGACAGCAGUACACUGGAUGGUUUGAUCGUGAACACUGCUUUAUCACAACAGUAUCCCUUUCAUGAACAAUAGAGGUCUGCCAUAUACCCUUCUGGAAUAACCAGACAGCCGUUACACAGUAAAAUACAUUCUACAGACAUCAAGGCUUGUAAUGUUGCUUUAUUGAUCACUGUGUUUAUGAAUGAGCAUACAAGAGAUAGCAGUAAACAGGCAAACAAUGAAGGAGAACAUCCCCAUACUGUAUUCAUAUCAAUUUGCAAGUGCUACUUCACACCAACCAGUAACGCAAUGUAUGUAUGCUUUUUUUUUAUUCUGUGCAGUGCACAGGUGUUUGCCGCAAACACGUUCCAGUCCAUAAGCUCUAAGAGAACAUAGGCUAUCACCUUGCCUAUAAUUGAUUUAUAUAUUGAUAUAGAUAUAUACCGAUUCAGCUGCGAUCGUAUCAAGGGUCCAUUUCUACGUUCCACAUUGCAACACUAGAACCCACAAAACAUUUUAUGUAUGUGGUAACAGUUACAAGAAAUCGCCUUCUUUGAGGCUUCAGAUUGUAUAUAACUCCCAUUCCGGGGUUUUUGAUCUGUUCAGUGGUGACCUAUUUGGGGUCGUACGCCAACUUCGAUGCCUCCUUCAUGAUGGGUCCAAAGCUAGGCCAGUUGUUGUCUCGCCAUCUACAUGGUUUUGUCUUU